rnacentral:tRNA from 1 species
GGGCUUGUGGCGGAAUUGGCAGACGCGCUGGAUUUAGGUUCCAGUGUCUUCGGACGUGAGAGUUCAAGUCUCUCCAGGCCCAC